UGCGUAGGCGGAAUAUUAAGUCAGUGGUGAAAUCCUGCGGCUCAACCGUAGAACUGCCAUUGAUACUGAUAUUCUUGAAUGUAGUUGAGGUAGGCGGAAUGUGUAAUGUAGCGGUGAAAUGCUUAGAUAUUACACAGAACACCGAUUGCGAAGGCAGCUUACUAAACUAUGAUUGACGCUGAGGUACGAAAGCGUGGGGAGCAAACAGGAUUAGAUACCCUGGUAGUCC
rnacentral:rRNA from 1 species